ensembl:lncRNA
GUAACAUUCGCUGCCUCCGUAGGCAAUGAUGAGCUUUGAGGAGAGUGGUAAUUUUAAAAAGGAAAUGUCUUCUCAUCAGCGCGUCCUUUGUUCCAAAUGUAUUCUGAAGGGAAAUCAGGAAAUGAAAGAAAGGAACAUUGCGUUUUGGUUCUGACUUUAAGGAAGGAGACGUGCCCACCGAUAGUUAUUAAUCAUCAGUAAUGUACUUAGAAACAUACGUGUCUUUAAACUGCUCUUCAAAGUUGGCACGGGGACCGAUGAACUGCGCUCCCUAGAAAACGGGAAGUUCAGAUCCAGACUUUCCCUUCCUUCGUCUUUCAAUACAGAGCCGUGUAGCGAUCUGUGGGUUCAGUGAGGUAACCUAAUGUAGGCAGGCCAGCCCCCCAGGAAGAUGCUCACUGAGUGAGCAGAGCUGGAAAGGACUUUCAUGCAGAAAUACCUGACGAGUGCAGAGAUCAGGUGAGAACAUGCAGAUGCAGCCUGCUUGGGUGGGGGUGGGCAGUACAGCCUUGCAGUUGAGAUCGAGGAAAUGCUUGGUUGCAGCUCACUAAUGUUACUCUGUUUUUCAGUGAUACCUUUUCGAGUCCUGAAGAAGUCUACCGCAAGCAGCGAGCAGAUAGUAUAGUACUCUUGGCCACUUUGGGCUAGAGAAUCACUUUGGUUUUUCCAGCCUCUACUGCCUUCAUUUCUGACCUGUGAUUUCACCAGAUGGCGAACAACAUAACUGUAUUUGUGGGGAAUACAAAGAUUGGCUGAUAGGUAAUGGAGGACGCCUGUUGUUUACCCACACUUGCAUCAUUGUGCACCUGAAAUAUACAAAAGCAUGUGGAAGCUGCUUUGACCAUCCAUGUAGGGCCAUGACAUACACAAGAACUGAUUAAAAUGAAGGUUUUUGGUCGGCAUCCAUAUACGCAAACCAAAGAUGGAAGAGCUGCAUCUCAAAUAUCCAACUGUGUUCCUACUCAGCAAUGCCAGGGGUUAGAGUAUUUCUCUUGCUGUUUUACAUCCCAGACUUGGUACGAGCAAGCACAGAUGUGUCUUUUGUGCAGGAGAGGGAAGGAAGAGAGAGCCAAAUGAAAAAUCCUGAAUGACAACAUCUCCAAGUAUCACAGCAGUACCUUCUAAAGCUGGAAGAUAAAGCUGAUGAGGUGGUUACCAUGGCUACAGAAGCGGCAUAUUUGAAUGAAAAUUGAUUUUAAGCUUUUAAAUGCUAAUUGCAUCUGUGAACAGGUGACAUUUGAAAUAUCUUUUUCUCCCUCCUCCCUCCCCCCAUAUGUUGCAGAGUAUAAUGAGUGAAAGAAGAGGGUGACAAAGGUGACAACACACUGUUAAAUUAGAACACUGAUACAGUCUUCAACACUAAAGUAUGUCACACCAUUUGCUUGUGUAGUAGUACAAGUAAUAAGUGAACACAUAUAUAGAUCACAGUGUCUGAGGAGCAGAAACUGUCUAGAACCCAAUUAAUAUAUUUUUCAUGGUAUUGUGAAAAAUUAAACAGCUUUAUUUAAAUUAAUCACCAGAACAAUUGUUUCUGGUAGCUCAUAAUAAAGAGGCUAUUAAAACUUACCAUUCAGAAACUGCUAUAAAUUCUCAGUGAUGAGGAAGCUUUGCAAAUGCCUGGAAUUAGAAGCAUUUCUUAUUUCACUCUGUACACUGGGAAAUAAAGUUGAACUUCUACACAGUAGUAGACUCAGACUAGGGAACCAAGAUGCUGUGUAGACUGGUGUUACUGUGCAACUGCUGCUAAUUGCUGUCACACCACUGUCUGACCACACUCAGGCUGUAGUUGCAGAAGACAUAGAAGGUGUAAUUUACCUCACUGUAAGCAUAGUUUUAAUAUGAUCUGAAAGCUCUUUAACUUGCAGUGGGUUACAUUCCACUUGUUAGCGCUUGCUUUUCGAAACACUCUUGAUAUGAUUACUGUUUAAGACAUGAUCAGUUGUAAUGCAGAUUUAUAUUUUGUUAAAUUAAUUGUAAAAUUGUAAAUAAAAAUUGUAAAUCUGUGAGGGGUUUCAGAUUAUUUUAGUUUUUUGUUUGUUUGUUUGUUUUUCAUUUUUGUUUUUUAAUAUGCAGUGUGAGAAAUCUGGUGGUUUUGGCUGUG